GUGGGGAAUAUUGGGCAAUGGGGGAAACCCUGACCCAGCGACGCCGCGUGAGGGAAGACGGCCUUCGGGUUGUAAACCUCUUUUGUACGGGAAGAAGGAAGUGACGGUACUGUACGAAUAAGUCCCGGCUAACUACGUGCCAGCAGCCGCGGUAAUACGUAGGGGACGAGCGUUGUCCGGAAUUACUGGGCGUAAAGGGCGCGCAGGCUGUGCUGCAAGUCAGCUGUGAAAUGUCUGGGCUUAACCCGGGCAUGCGGUUGAGACUGCAGUGCUGGAGUGCUGUAGAGGCAAGUGGAAUUCCCAGUGUAGCGGUGAAACGCGUAGAUAUUGGGAAGAACACCGGUGGCGAAGGCGACUUGCUGGGCAGCAACUGACGCUGAGGCGCGAAAGCCAGGGUAGCGAACGGGAUUAGAAACCCGGGUAGUCC
rnacentral:rRNA from 1 species